UACGGAGGGUGCGAGCGUUGUCCGGAAUCACUGGGCGUAAAGGGCGCGUAGGCGGCUUUGUAAGUCGGGGGUGAAAGCCUGUGGCUCAACCACAGAAUUGCCUUCGAUACUGCAUGGCUUGAGACCGGAAGAGGUAAGUGGAACUGCGAGUGUAGAGGUGAAAUUCGUAGAUAUUCGCAAGAACACCAGUGGCGAAGGCGGCUCACUGGCCCGGUACUGACGCUGAGGUGCGAAAGCGUGGGGAGCAAACAGG
rnacentral:rRNA from 1 species